UUUUUGGGCUUGGUAAUUGGAAUAAGGGAGAGUUAAACGGACCAUCGAGUAUCCAUUGGAGGGCAAGUCUGGUGCCAGCAGCUGCGGUAAUACCAGCUCCAAUUGCGUAUAUUAAAGUUGUUGCAGUUAAAAAGCUCGUAGUUGGACUUGUGUGCGCUGUCCGCGGGUGGCCUGCGCCCAAAAGGGCGUUUCGGUUCGGCCCCGGUGGCGCCUUGAAAUCUGCAGCUGGGGGGACGUUGGCCUUAACUGGUCGGCGACCGCACGCCGGCUGCUCGGUUACUGUGAGAAAAUUAGAGUGUUCAAGGCAGGCAUUGGGUGCAAUUGAAUACAUUAGCAUGGAAUAAUAAAAUAUGGCUCCUGCCGUAUUUUGUUGGUUUUGACUGGUGGGAGUAAUGAUUGAUAGGGACGGUUGGGGGUGCUAGCAUUGAGCGGCCAGAGGUGAAAUUCAUGGAUUCGCUCAAGACUAACUUAUGCGAAAGCAUUCACCAAGGACGUCCUCUUUAAUCAAGAACGAAAGUUGGGGGAUCGAAGACGAUCAGAUACCGUCGUAGUCUCAACCAUAAACUAUGUCGACUUGGGAUCGGCGGUAGUUUUUUCAUUAAGACACUGUCGGGACCACGGGAGAAAUCAAAGUGUCUGGACUCUGGGGGAAGUAUGGUCGCAAGGCUGAAACUUGAAGGAAUUGACGGAAGGGCACCACCAGGAGUGGAGCCUGCGGCUUAAUUUGACACAACACGGGGUAACUUACCAGGUCCAGAGAUGUAGAGGAUUGACAGAUUGAAGCUCUUUCUUGAUCACUUCGGUGGUGGUGCAUGGCCGUUCUUAGUUGGUGGAGUGAUUUGUCUGGUUAAUUCCGUUAACGAACGAGACCUCAGCCUGCUAGUGUAUUCGGCUGGAUUGCCUUUGGCGAUCCGUGAUUUCGACUUCUUAGAGGGACAAUCGACGCGCAGUCGAUGGAAGUUUGAGGCAAUAACAGGUCUGUGAUGCCCUUAGAUGUUCUGGGCCGCACGCGCGCUACACUGCUGGGCUCAGCGAGUUUUACUUGGCCGAGAGGCCCGGUUAAUCUUGUGAAAUCCCAGCGUGCUUGGGCUCGCCUCCUGCAACUGGAGGCGCCAACGAGGAAUUCCUAGUAGACGCAGGUCAUCAACCUGCAUCGAUUACGUCCCUGCCCUUUGUACACACCGCCCGUCGUUCCAUAAGAGUGAGGCAUCCGGUGAAUUCUCGGGAGAGCCUGGGCGUGGCCAGCAAUGGUCUGCUCGGGUUUGAACUUGCAUAAACUUGGUGCCUAUGAUUAGGG
rnacentral:rRNA from 1 species